GUGAGAGGCAAAGGCAUCGCGGAGUAGUAAGUCACCCCGUUUAAGAUCCAGGUGCCCGAGCGGCAGAGUGAGGGUCCUCAGCAUUGUCAGAGUUUGUCGGAGAUUACAAGGUAGCUGCAUGGCGUCCGCAACCCUGCUUUCUUCCUCUUAUCCUUGUUUUCCCGCAUUUUAGACUUGUUAUAUAUUAGACAGUCAAAUUUGUAUAUUUAGAGGCUCUAGACUCGUGACACCGGAUGUUUGGUCUGUGUUGGUUUAAUGUUUUUAUUGAUUUCCGCAUAUUUUUAGCUGUUUUAUACAUUUUUUUAUGAAAAUUGAGAUUUAAA